UGGGGAAUUUUGGACAAUGGACGCAAGUCUGAUCCAGCCAUGCCGCGUGCGGGAAGAAGGCCUUCGGGUUGUAAACCGCUUUUGUCAGGGAAGAAACGAGUUUCUCUAAUACAGAGACUUAAUGACGGUACCUGAAGAAUAAGCACCGGCUAACUACGUGCCAGCAGCCGCGGUAAUACGUAGGGUGCAAGCGUUAAUCGGAAUUACUGGGCGUAAAGCGUGCGCAGGCGGUUAUGCAAGACAGAGGUGAAAUCCCCGGGCUCAACCUGGGAACUGCCUUUGUGACUGCAUAGCUAGAGUACGGUAGAGGGGGAUGGAAUUCCGCGUGUAGCAGUGAAAUGCGUAGAUAUGCGGAGGAACCCCAAUUGCGAAGGCAGCCUACUACGGGGUGAUUGACACUGAGGCACGAGAGCAUGGGGAGCAAACA
rnacentral:rRNA from 1 species